rnacentral:rRNA from 1 species
CCUACGGGUGGCAGCAGUGAGGAAUAUUGGUCAAUGGGCGGGAGCCUGAACCAGCCAAGUCGCGUGAGGGAAGACGGUCCUAUGGAUUGUAAACCUCUUUAGGCGGGGAGCAAUGCCGGGCACGCGUGCCCGGCGGGAGAGUACCCGCAGAAUAAGCCUCGGCUAACUCCGUGCCAGCAGCCGCGGUAAGACGGAGGAUGCGAGCGUUGUCCGGAUUUAUUGGGUUUAAAGGGUGCGUAGGCGGCUUUUGCAGUCAGCGGUAAAAGGUCCGGGCUCAACCCGGGCCGGCCGUUGAAACUGGGGAUCUUGAGUGGGAGAGAAGUAUGCGGAAUGCGUGGUGUAGCGGUGAAAUGCAUAGAUAUCACGCAGAACUCCGAUUGCGAAGGCAGCAUACCGGCGCCCGACUGACGCUGAGGCACGAAAGCGUGGGGAUCGAACAGGAUUAGAUACCCCGGUAGUC